UACGUAGGUGACAAGCGUUGUCCGGAUUUACUGGGCGUAAAGAGCGCGCAGGCGGUCGUUCAAGUCGAGUGUGAAAGCCCCCGGCUCAACUGGGGAGGGUCAUUCGAUACUGAUCGACUUGAAGGCAGGAGAGGGAAGUGGAAUUCCCGGUGUAGUGGUGAAAUGCGUAGAUAUCGGGAGGAACACCAGUGGCGAAGGCGACUUCCUGGCCUGUUCUUGACGCUGAGGCGCGAAAGCUAGGGGAGCAAACGGG
rnacentral:rRNA from 1 species